GAAAUGCGAUAAGUAGUGUGAAUUGCAGAAUUCAGUGAAUCAUCGAAUCUUUGAACGCACAUUGCGCCCUUUGGUAUUCCUUAGGGCAUGCCUGUUCGAGCGUCAUCUAAACCUUCAAGCCCUGCUUGGUGUUGGGUGCCUGUCCCGCCUCCGCGCGCGGACUCACCUCAAAUCCAUUGGCGGCCCCCGCGUCGGCCACGAGCGCAGCUGAAACGCGAACUCGUGAGCCCAUCCGGGCGGCUCCCAGAAGCUACACCCACCCAGUUUGACCUCGGAUCAGGUAGGGAUACCCGCUGAACUUAAGC
rnacentral:misc_RNA from 1 species